UUUGAAAUCCGGCCCCCCGGGCCCGAGUUGUAAUUUGCAGAGGACGCUCCUGGCGCGGCGCCUUCCGAGUUCCCUGGAACGGGACGCCACAGAGGGUGAGAGCCCCGUCCGGUCGGACGCCAAGCCUCCGUGGAGCUCCUUCGACGAGUCGAGUAGUUUGGGAAUGCUGCUCAAAACGGGAGGUAUAUGUCUUCUAAAGCUAAAUACCGGCCAGAGACCGAUAGCGCACAAGUAGAGUGAUCGAAAGAUGAAAAGCACUUUGAAAAGAGGGUUAAACAGUACGUGAAAUUGUUGAAAGGGAAGCGCUCGCGGCCAGACUCGGGCCCGGCGGAUCAUCCGGCGUUCUCGCCGGUGCGCUCCGCCGGGCCCGGGCCAGCAUCGGUCCGCGGCGGGGGACAAAGGCUCCGGGAACGUGGCCCCCACGGGGGUGUUAUAGCCCGCUGCGCAAUGCCCCGCGGCGGACCGAGGUACGCGCCCCGCAAGGAUGCUGGCGUAAUGGCCUCCAGCGACCCGUCUUGAAACACGGACCAAGGAGUCGUCUUCGUAUGCGAGUGUUCGGGUGUCAAACCCCUACGCGCAAUGAAAGUGAACGCUGGUGAGAGCCUCGGCGCAUCACCGACCGAUCCUGAUGUUCUCGGAUGGAUUUGAGUAAGAGCAUACGGGGCCGGACCCGAAAGAAGGUGAACUAUGCCUGUGUAGGGUGAAGCCAGAGGAAACUCUGGUGGAGGCUCGCAGCGGUUCUGACGUGCAAAUCGAUCGUCAAACAUGGGCAUGGGGGCGAAAGACUAAUCGAACCUUCUAGUAGCUGGUU
rnacentral:rRNA from 1 species